rnacentral:rRNA from 1 species
UAGGGAAUCUUCGGCAAUGGGGGCAACCCUGACCGAGCAACGCCGCGUGAGUGAAGAAGGUUUUCGGAUCGUAAAGCUCUGUUGUAAGAGAAGAACGUGUGUGAGAGUGGAAAGUUCACACAGUGACGGUAACUUACCAGAAAGGGACGGCUAACUACGUGCCAGCAGCCGCGGUAAUACGUAGGUCCCGAGCGUUGUCCGGAUUGAUUGGGCGUAAAGCGAGCGCAGGCGGUUUAAUAAGUCUGAAGUUAAAGGCAGUGGCUUAACCAUUGUUCGCUUUGGAAACUGUUAAACUUGAGUGCAGAAGGGGAGAGUGGAAUUCCAUGUGUAGCGGUGAAAUGCGUAGAUAUAUGGAGGAACACCGGUGGCGAAAGCGGCUCUCUGGUCUGUAACUGACGCUGAGGCUCGAAAGCGUGGGGAGCAAACAGG